rnacentral:lncRNA from 1 species
AUUUCCCGCCCUCGUCUUUGUGUUCGUCUUAAUAGUAUUCGUUUUGUAUCGGAAGUCGUUACUGGUCGUAGGUGUUCCCCUCUCCUUUAUCCUGGUUAUACUUAUUGAUUUACAAGUAUUUUUUUUAUUUUUCUUCUUUUUUGGAAGCAAAGAAUGUUGCGACGAUUUCCCCUCUUAAAGAGGAUCUCACCCAAGGUGUAUAUAUCUAUAUGCUUUUUCAUUUAUCUAGUUCUCCCCAAAGUAAGAGUCUCGCUUGGGUACCUCUUUAUGGAUGAACUUCAAAGGGCUGUUGCUCAAUUUCUUCAUGCAUCGGGGGAGGGAGGCGCCCGUUACUGUAGAAGAAGAUCGACAAAAAAAGAUAGUCGACAUACAGGAGAGGAGCGAGUGAUUGUUUAAAACGUACUAACUGAGAGAUUCAUCUAUCCUGACUUUCAAGUCGUGCUUGAUUGAGUGUUAACAAUCGGUUACAGCCAACAUUCGUUAACUAGUGAUGAAGAAGGAAAAUUUAUAUAUAUAUAAUGCAUUUUAAUGGCUGAUCUAGCAUUGAGGUGUUCAGGGGAACCAGAAAGUGGGACUACCCGAAGGCUGGGUCUUCAUUUUCGCAGCCCGGACCGUCUUUCGAUGGGCCGCUGAACCGUCUCUGCCGCAUCCUGUUACUGCCUUUGGAUUAGGCGAUUGCCCGUCCGUCUUCAGGCUGACAAUGCUCUCAAAGCCCUUACGAUCGCUAGCCAAGAGAGAAGCUCCGAGCUAACAAAGGUAGAAUAAGGAUGAAGGUAGGCAGGCGAGUAGAAGGAUAGCUAAAAGAUUGGUCUAGAUAUAUAUCAGCAGUAAAAAAAUGUAGACUUCACAUCCUUCGCGCAUGAGUUUUCUAAUUGGCUAUGGUCUCUCUUCUCAGCUCCUCGGGAACUUCUGAUAGUAAUCUAAGCCACGGGAGUCUUUGAGGCCAGUAAGAUUCUUUCGAUUUUUUUGCAUUCCCGUACUGUUAUUUAGAAGCCGGAAACA